GACGAACGCUGGCGGCGUGCCUAACACAUGCAAGUCGAACGGAGUCUUGCGUCAACACAGAGUGCUUUUUAAAGAGCACUGUGUGUUGAUGUAAGACUUAGUGGCGGACGGGUGAGUAACACGUGAGCAACCUGCCCAUGGGAGGGGGAUAACAUACCGAAAGGUAUGCUAAUACCGCAUAACGUAUGUUUGCCGCAUGACAGACAUACCAAAGAUUUAUCGCCCAUGGAUGGGCUCGCGGCCGAUUAGGUAGUUGGUGAGGUAACGGCUCACCAAGCCGACGAUCGGUAGCCGGACUGAGAGGUUGAACGGCCACAUUGGGACUGAGACACGGCCCAGACUCCUACGGGAGGCAGCAGUGGGGAAUAUUGCGCAAUGGGGGAAACCCUGACGCAGCGACGCCGCGUGAAGGAUGAAGGUCUUCGGAUCGUAAACUUUUGUCAUCGGGGACGAGUAAGGACGGUACCCGAGGAGGAAGCCACGGCUAACUACGUGCC
rnacentral:rRNA from 1 species